CCUACGGGAGGCAGCAGUGGGGAAUAUUGGACAAUGGGCGCAAGCCUGAUCCAGCAAUACCACGUGAAUGAUGAAGGCCUUAGGGUUGUAAAAUUCUUUUAGUAGAGAAGAUAAUGACGGUAUCUACAGAAAAAGCACCGGCUAACUUCGUGCCAGCAGCCGCGGUAAUACGAAGGGUGCUAGCGUUGUUCGGAAUCAUUGGGCGUAAAGCGUGCGUAGGCGGCAUGGUAAGUCAGCUGUGAAAGCCCAGAGCUCAACUUUGGAGUUGCAGUUGAAACUAUCAAGCUCGAGUAUGGCGGGGGAUAGUGGAAUUCUUAGUGUAGGGGUGAAAUCCGUAGAUAUUAAGAGGAACACCAGUGGCGAAAGCGACUAUCUACACCAUUACUGACGCUGAGGUACGAAAGCGUGGGGAGCAAACAGGAUUAGAUACCCUGGUAGUCCACGCAGUAAACGAUGAGUGCUAGUUAUUGGGAUCUUUGAUUUCGGUGGCGAAGCUAACGCGUUAAGCACUCCGCCUGGGGAGUACGGCCGCAAGGCUAAAACUCAAAGGAAUUGACGGAAGGGCG
rnacentral:rRNA from 1 species